rnacentral:misc_RNA from 1 species
CAGGGUUAUGCCGAGCAACCUUUUCAGCUUCUCUCUGAAGCCCGGAGGGGCUCUGGCAGCCACGAUCAUCCACUGUGUGCACUCAUUGAACCAUGCUUUGGCAGACUCCUUUUCUCUCCUCGUCUAGGUGGGGGGGAAAGCCCCUGGGCGGCCCUCCAAGGCCCCCAACAGUCUGCCAGAGUUUUUACUUAAAUAUAGCCUGAUUGUCUGCCUGAAUAUUUUUGAUCGAAACAAAAAUA